rnacentral:lncRNA from 1 species
GUUGUGAUGCCGUAUAGUUGUUACAACUGUACAUUUUUCAAACACACCACAUUCUCCUCUUAUCUUAAUCUCCAAGCUUUAUAGUUUUAUUCUAGCUUUCAUUCUGGUUACAUCUUGCACACCUUAAAAACUAGCCCCGCCUUUACAUGUCUGUCUGCAAGCAGCCAAGUAGUCAAACAGUCCGAAUAUUUAGAACACCACCUCUGCAAGAUGUUCACAGAAGUAAACUCAUCAUCAGCUGUAGUUGCACAUGGAUUUUGAACCUGGCUGUGGAGACAAUAAUGGAAGCCUUAAGCCUGAACCCAAACCCACCGAUCCUGAUCCUACCGAGGGUGGCAGCGGUGGCCCAGCGAGUCCUAAACCAAGAAAGAUUGUAGCCUUCACAGCAAAACUUAACAUCUGUGACAGCUACCCAACUCACAGAGGAAUCCUGAAGUUUACCAACAUCCUGGUCAAUGAGGGAGAUGGCUACAGUACCGACACAGGAAAAUUCACCUGCUCGCUAGCUGGCUUGUACCACUUGACACUGUACAUGUCCACCUACGGGCGCGCCCAGUGUAGUAUCUUAAAGAAUGGCCAGCGGGUUGUCUCAGCAUACCAUACCAGCCUGCCAGACAAUUGUUGCCAUGUAGCCAGCAUUGGUAGUGUGAUUGAGCUCACUAAAGGAGAGCAUGUUUGGGUUAAUCUGUGGGGGCCUACAAGGCAUGACAUUUUUGCUACUGAAGAGAAGGGUCAUCUAAUUUGUAAUUGAUGAAAUUUCAAUAUUUCUCAGUGUUUUAGAAUUUGUUGUUUAUUAGGCUAAAUCUGUGUGCCCAAUGCCACCCCUCAUCUCUGAUUCCCCGCUGUGCGCACAAUAUCAAGUGCGCCUAUAGGCUAUUUAGUGUGGUCUCAAUCAAAUGAUCCAAAUUAUCCAUAGCCUAUAGGCUAAAGGAUAUACGAAGUGCAUGCCGAGAGAAGAGGAAGUUAUAUUUGUAAGGAAAUUAACUUCCUUCCUGAGUCUUUUGCACUGCUGGGAUGGUGUGAUAAAUAAUUGUCGAUUAGGCCUAGUCCAACAAAUGCGACAUCGUGCUUGCGGAUUAGACUAUAUGUUCUGUUCAGCUUGAGAAGGACAGCAUGAAUAUGAAAAGGAGGACCUAAUGUUAACUUUGAUAGCUUGCUACCACUAUAAUUGAUUUUAAGAAAAACAAUGUUUUUUGCCCAUUAUGUUUUUCUCAGAGGUAUUGACCUCACAGAAAGACAGAUUCAAGUAACUUGGUGCUGAAACUUGAAGCAGGCAGCCGCAGCACAAGAAAUCGAAAAAAUCAUGGUGCUGAAAGUAGGCAUAUUAGAGUAGGAAUAAUUCAUUUAAACUGUCUUCAUUAUAGUUUUACUUAACUAACAAAAGGGAUUUAUAUUGGAACAAUUUUCAUCCUAUUUAAGAAAUAAGAGGUAGGCCUUACCUAUUUUACAGAUGAAAUUAGGCAGUAGGCUGCAAUCCAAACUCCAUGCACUCUUCAAAUAGUCUACCUGAGUGUCGGUGAAGGAAAUUAAAUAAUUCCAGGUAGCCUAGCAGUUAAGAGCAUUGGGCCAGUAACUGAAAGGGUGCUAGUUCAAAUCCCUGAGCCGACUAUGUGAAAAACAUGUCGAUGUUUCCUUGUGCAAACCACUUAACCCUAAUUGUUCUUGUAAGUCGCUCUGGAUAAGAGUGUCAACUAAAUGAAUAAAAUAUAAAUUAUUUGGCAUCUGAAAAAUACAGUAUGAUAAGAUGAAUCCAUAGGCCUAUCUCUCUGUCCAUUCUUAUCCUGUCAUUUAUGGUAUUAAAAAAGAUUCUCCUAAGGUCUCCAGUCAUGUAAAAUGACAUACUCCUAGAAUUACAUUAAAUGUUUAUAAUAUGCUAUCUUGGACCCGUAAAUACAAUACUUUUACUAUACUCCGGCAUAGUGGACGCGUCAUAAUACCCAUAAAACCUAGCGGUAAAACCCAGUAAUGGUUCCAAUCGUUUUUUCACCAUUCAUUUUUGCGUCUGGGAUUUUAGAACUACUUCAUAUAAGGUCUGUGUUUUGUGUAGGCUUAUACUGACGUCUCGUUUUGAUAACCAUGUAAUUCUCUCUCGGAAAAGGUGAGUUUUAUCAAUAUAUUGGCUUCAAUUUACAAAAAAAAAUUUUAAAUGCUGAUUAGCAACAGAGAUGACCUCAGUAAGACUACAAAUUCCUGCAGGAAGCUCCUGCACUUCAUCUCUAGUCGACACUGUCAGCUACCGUUCACCAGCAUGAUCAGAGACCUGUGUACAAUCCAUAAACUUCUUAUGUCCCCUUUCUCGGUCUUAGCUAGCCACUGACUACACUUUAGCUAGCUAAUUAUUACAGCAGUAGAUCCCAAAAAUAUUUUGUUUUGCUUAGCCUAGAUAAUUGUUUGUCCAGUGUGUCGAUUCAGGCUUUACGGCAUUUUUCAAGUAUGAGCAUAAGAGCAUUGAAAGGGGAGAAGACCACUAUAAGUCUGGCCAUGUGGAGAAGUGCAACUAUAGUGAGGGGAAACAUACCGGUUUGGUCAGGGCCAGCAUGAGGGAUAAAGUUUAUCCUGUGUCGGUGAGUGUAGCUAUUAAGUUAAGUUUGAGCAU